ensembl:lncRNA
GCAGAGUGGGAAGAUGACCAAGUUUAUCCUCUCCCUCUGGAGUAAUCAAAGGUGUUUUGCACAUAUAUGUGAUCUACUGCAGUUGUCUUACUGAUCUACAUCUCUCACUGACAUCCUAUGCCAUUACAACUCCAACAGGCUUCAGUUCCAGCUGGAGAAGACUUCUUCCUUAUUGGAGUGGCCUGGAGGAUGCUAGCAUCCACUGCUGCAGCUCCUGCUGAAUUCAACAGUUUUGCCAUUGGCUGUAACAAGAGUAGGACUGUGCUUUCUGUCUGCACGCUCCUAAAAGGGUGUUCCAAGACAUAUUUAGCCUUAUGAAUGUCUUACAGGCAAGACACACCCAGUGGCG